UACGGAGGGUGCGAGCGUUAAUCGGAAUUACUGGGCGUAAAGGGCGCGUAGGUGGUCUGGUAAGUCGGAUGUGAAAGCCCCGGGCUCAACUCGGGAACUGCAUUCGAUACUGCUUGGCUAGAGUACGGUAGAGGGAAGCGGAAUUCCCGGUGUAGCGGUGAGAUGCGUAGAUAUCGGGAGGAACACCAGUGGCGAAGGCGGCUUCCUGGAUCGAUACUGACACUGAGGAGCGAAAGCGUGGGGAGCAAACAGG
rnacentral:rRNA from 1 species